GGGAUUUUUAUUGGCACAAAACAUUUCAUCACGACACCUAGGGGUAACGGAAGCAAAUUUUUUUUUGGUUACGUUGUGAAUCUUAUAAAAAAUAUCAAUAAGGGACGUUCUUUAAACGUGGAUCAACGCACAACAUCUUGCACUUAAGAGCACAAUUUAAACAGCAGCUGCUUCUCUUUUCAUAACUCAUAAAGAAUGCACCAGGUCCUUUUCUCUUUUGGAGAUGCGCAAAACAAAAGGACUGGCCAAAGGCAAGCAGAUUAUAAGACAGAGAAAGAGAGGAAUCUCCGAAGAUCUGCCUGAGGCAAGCAGAUUAUAAGACCCAGAAAGAGAGGAAUCUCCGAAGAUCUGGCUCUCCUUAUUGCACUACCGCUUUUUUCACACUCUUCUAAGCUUUUACCAUCUGGCAUGCAGUGAUGCCAAUAUUUGUUCGUAUAAAAAGACAGAUUAAGAAAAAAAAACUGAAAAAAAAAGGAUGAAAAUAUUAAAAAAAGAAUAAAAAGUUAAUUAAAGUAAUUUUAUUUUUUAUUAUUAAGAUAAUAGUUUUAAGUCAUAAUAAUAGUUUCCUUCGUCAUUAUUGCUGUCCUCAAAGUAGCCAUGGAUCCAAUUAAUUGGCGACACUUUUCAGGCAAGUUAUAAUUAUGAAAUCUGAAGAAAGAAUACAUGUACUUGUACAUCUACUUGAUGUAUUAUCAAUUUAUAUAUGGUAAAUUUUACAGUUAAUACUGCAUUUGCAAUAUGCCUUGUUAAUGUCUGAAUUAUGUCGGCUAAUUCAAUCUUUAAAAUCGGGCUGCAGUACCCAGCAAUCCUUUUGCUUAAACAUUUCUUUUGGCAUUUUAAUUUUAUAAUACAAAUUGCGUGUUCAGUACCGAAACAGAUAGUGUAAGUAAACCGUAAAUAGAGUUGUUUUUCGAUGCAUUUUUUUUUAUCAAACUGUCGAUAUAAGUAUGGCCGCCGCGAGAAGUUGCCACCUCUGUCAUAUUUUACAGCUGAUAAUAAAUUUAAAUUGGAAAGCAAAAGCAACAAUUUUAGAAAAAAUAGAAUUAAUAUUGAAUUAAAAAAAGACAGAUUUUCGGAACAAAAAUCUUAAAAAAAGACAGAUUUCAGGUAUGCGGAUGAUUUAAAAUGUUUUCCGGAUAAAGCGUUAAAAACAGGGCAGAUCUGUCCGGAAAAAGGACAAAUUGGCAUCACUGCUGACAUGUAACGUUUUACCUCUGUUGUACGCUUUACCAUUAUUGCCGACCGCUGCAAUAAAGGUUUAAAAACAUUGUAGUUUUUAAAUAUCGAUGUUAUUCAAUCUCAAAAUUAAUGUUUUAAAUUAAACAUAAACAUCGAACAAAUUUAAAACAAAAUAACAAAUAUUUAUUAAAGAUUCAUAGAAAGUCUUAAAGUUCAAAGCAAGUUCAGUGUUUCAAUUGAUAAAAAGCCACUACUGUAGGUAGUUUUGUACGAGUACCUGCGUUCAAAUAUUAGUUGCUAAACAAAUCUACAAAUGAUAAAAAUUACACUAGUUAACAGCCAAAAUACUUAAAAAGCUAAGAUUUGUCUGUUUGACACACCAAAUUUUUAAAAACCGUGUCCAUUUUCUGUCAUGGCUGGUCCCGCUCACUUAUUACCCUUUAACUUUUUUUGCGUGCGUUGUUCUGCCGUCGACGCCCUGCGCUGCUCCAGAAAAUAUGUUCGGGGAAUCCUCCGACGUAGCCACAGUAGUCCGUUCCAGUCAACUAUCAUGUGCUACGACCAAUCGAGUCCACGCCAGGAUCGGCGGGUUACACCUCCUAUUCCAGACUUAGGGUAUAUAAUGCUUGCGAUUUUCAGAAAACCGUUGGACACAACAGCCAACACCACACCAGGAUCGGCAGGUUAACUAUUUGGGCAAUUGCCGGACGUAGCUGGAAUAGUCCUCGUAGCAGCCGACCGGGUGUUCUUUUUUCUCUCAUGAGUUUCCUGUGAGUUUCUUGUUCAGAUGCAUCGCCUACGAAACCGGACUCAAGAUAGUCAACGACAGGAUACGUCGGUGCUACGUUUGCUCAGGUCCUACUCACAUAUUGGGGCAACCGUACUACGUAGCUACAGCAGUCCUCGCAACAGUCGACCGAGUCUAUAUUCAACUUAACCGUGUAUUUCACUUAAGGGCCUCAAUAAUUCUCGGCCUCUCCUCGCCUUCACUGCAAAAGACACCACACCAAAACUCCCAACUCUCUAUCUACGUCCCAUCGGAAAAUCGCGAUUUUUCCAUGAAGUUUGACCUUUUCAAAUAUUUAAUUUAGAAUACAUAUAUAUUAAUUUACUUCGAACUAUAUUUUAUUUAAAAUGUAUAAUUUAAAUUUUCUGAAGAAUUACAAUUAUUAUGUUU